GCCCUGGAAGGCAAAGUCUUAACGGCUGGACUGCCAGGAAUGUCCCCAGGCAUUCAGUUUUGUUUUUAGGAAUUCAGUAUCGGUUUCAGUAGGCAGGAAUACUGGAGUGGGUUGCUGUUCCCUGCUCCAGGGGCUCUUCCCAACCCCGGGGGUCGAACUCCGGUCUCCCGCAGUGCAGGCGGAUUCUUCACCAGCUGCGCCUCCAGGGAAGCCCUUCAACGGAACGCCAUUUGCGUUAUCAAAGGGGGCCUUGGGGUUCCGUGAGUGCUUCAGUCAUAAGACAGCGCACUUGGAAUUUCUCACCUGAAUCCUGUCAAAGAGAUGAAUUCAUUUCAGGGCGAGAAAAGCCCACAGAGGGAGGAAGGGAGGAUGUUACCCCGGCCGCGGUUGAAUCUUAUUAAAACCUGACAGAGCCCGGCCCCAGCAUCUCAGCGAGAUCCUAGGAAGAUGCGGGACGGCAGCAUCGCUACGGCGCCCGCUGUCUGAGAAGUCAGGCCCGGCGAGGUCGUCGUUAAUGACUCCCUGUCAGGUUGGGAGGAUGCGGGGAGGACAGCUGGGAGACCUCUGAGAAGGACCUGCGGUUCCGCUGUAGUUUCAUUAACAGCGGGAAGAGACGCCGGAUUUGAUACUCUGGACAGGGGACAUGAGGUCAGGAGGGGUCAUAAAUGCCUCGAAAAGAGACGUGAAGAUACAGCGCAGCUUGGAAAUGACAACGAUGGGCAGGGAAUUGAGAUGCCGGAUGACUUUUCUGUCAACUCCCAGGCGUCCAGAGUUCUCUCCUGUGGACACCCGCGUUGUGAGUGUGGGUCUCGCUUCCCCGUGAACAUCCUUGUCCAUCCUUAACUGUGUAUCUGUGACUGUUGGAUGCAACCAUCAAGGGCUGCCCGGAGCCGUCUGCUUCUACAUCCGUUAUCCAUCCCAGCUCCCGUGGUCUGCAGGUCAACACCUCCCCUCGGGCGAAGCAUCAAAGCAGCGCGUGACUUUCUGCCCCAACGUGGAGUUUUCCUUGCUUCCUGCUCCAGGAGUGAAGUGCCCAUCUCUAGGACCUAACGCCUGAUGAUCUGAGAUGGAAACGGAUGUCCUAAUCA
rnacentral:lncRNA from 1 species